UACAUAGACUGCAGGCGUUAUUCGGAUUCACUGGGCGUAAAGGGUGCGCAGGCGGCCGAGUGUGUGAGGCGUGAAAGCCCGGGGCUUAACCCCGGAAUUGCACCUCAAACUACACGGCUAGAGCAUUGGAGAGGGUAGCAGAAUUCAUGGUGUAGCAGUGAAAUGCGUAGAUAUCAUGAGGAAUACCAGAGGCGAAGGCGGCUACCUGGACAAUUGCUGACGCUCAGGCACGAAAGCGUGGGGAGCAAAAGGG
rnacentral:rRNA from 1 species